AUGAGGAAGCAUGUCUGCCUGUUAAUUGUCUAUCGCAUUUUCUAUUUUCUUCUUUAUCCUAGGUUGUAGCAGCAACCUUCCCUCUGGUUAAAUUGGAAGAAAGUGGCUGGAGAGAGCUCAGAUACAGAGCUGAAAACAAAGACAUCCAAACCUUGAGCGAUUUAGAAGAGGAAGAAGCCAAAUUCUGUGCCAAAGGUUUGACUGCUGGGUUUACUCAUGGCUUCAGAUGAAGAGAAGCCCUGUACAAUAGCAUGGAGACCCUGAGGAUUGGAGAUAAUUUUUCUCCUUAUGCAUUUUUCCCUUCUUUGCAGGU